rnacentral:rRNA from 1 species
UACGUAGGGUGCGAGCGUUAAUCGGAAUUACUGGGCGUAAAGCGUGCGCAGGCGGUUUUGUAAGCCAGAUGUGAAAUCCCCGGGCUUAACCUGGGAAUGGCAUUUGGGACUGCAAGGCUUGAGUGCGGCAGAGGAGACUGGAAUUCCUGGUGUAGCAGUGAAAUGCGUAGAUAUCAGGAGGAACACCGAUGGCGAAGGCAGGUCUCUGGGCUGACACUGACGCUCAUGCACGAAAGCGUGGGGAAGCAACAGGG